rnacentral:lncRNA from 1 species
ACAAAAUAGGGUUGGGGAUGUGGCUCAGUGCCCCUGAGUUCAAUCCCUGGUACCAAAUAAAAUAAAACUAAAUAAAAUAGAAAGAAGUGACUAUUCCACCAGAUGUGUAGGCAUCAACAUAUGGACCCAAGACACAUAAGAAAGCAUGGCACCUCUAAGGAAACACAGUUGUUCUCCAGAAAUAGAUCCAAAUUUGCAGUAAAUCUAUGAAAUGCCUGAAAAAGAAUUCAAACUAAUGAUCCUAAGGGAACUCAGUGAGAUAUAUGAAAAUAUAGAGAGACGAUGUAAUAGAAUGAGAGAAACCAUUAAUGAUAUGAAUUAGAAAUUUAACAAAGAUAGAAAUCAUAAAAAUAAUCAGAACUCAGGGCUAAAAACUUCAAUUAAUUAAAAAAUACAAUUGAGAGUUUCCACAUCAGGCCAAACAGAAGAAUGAAUGUCUGAACUAGAGUAUACAGUAGCUUAGACAAUUAAAGAAAAAAGAUGAAUAAGAGAAUUGAAAAGAAAACAAAGAAUAAAAAGAAAAAUAAAACUCCCUUGAAUGUAAGUAGAUUAAAUUUAGCAAUCAAAAAACAUAAAUUGACAGAAUUGAUAAAAAUAGCAAGACCCAACCAUAUGCUGCCUACAAGAAACUCCCUUCAUUAGUAUAUACACAGAUUUAAAAUGAAGAGUUAGAAAAAGUUAUGCUAGGUAAAUAGCAACUAAAAAUAAGCAGGAGUAGCUAUGCUGAUGUUAGGUAAAAUAAAUUUUAUAU